GACGAACGCUGGCGGCAUGCCUAACACAUGCAAGUCGAGCGAGCAGAUCCCUUCGGGGUGAAGCUAGCGGCGGACGGGUGAGUAACACGUGGGCAACCUGCCUCAUAGAGGGGAAUAGCCUUCCGAAAGGAAGAUUAAUACCGCAUAACAUUACAGCUUCGCAUAAAGCAGUAAUUAAAGGAGCAAUCCGCUAUGAGAUGGGCCCGCGGCGCAUUAGCUAGUUGGUGAGGUAACGGCUCACCAAGGCGACGAUGCGUAGCCGACCUGAGAGGGUGAUCCGCCACAUUGGGACUGAGACACGGCCCAGACUCCUACGGGAGGCAGCAGUGGGGAAUAUUGCACAAUGGGGGAAACCCUGAUGCAGCAAUGCCGCGUGAGUGAUGACGGCCUUCGGGUUGUAAAGCUCUGUCUUCGGGGACGAUAAUGACGGUACCCGAGGAGGAAGCCACGGCUAACUACGUGCCAGCCGCCGCGGUAA
rnacentral:rRNA from 1 species